rnacentral:rRNA from 1 species
GCCUGGAAUGGUUUAUGUUCCAAAUGAUUUAUCGCCGUAGGAUGGGACUGCGGCCUAUCAGUUUGUUGGUGAGGUAAUGGCCCACCAAGACUAUUACAGGUACGGGCUCUGAGAGGAGUAGCCCGGAGAUGGGUACUGAGACACGGACCCAGGCCCUAUGGGGCGCAGCAGGCGAGAAAACUUUGCAAUGUGCGAAAGCACGACAAGGUUAAUCCGAGUGGUUUCUGCUAAAGAAACCUUUUGUCAGUCCUAGAAACACUGAUGAAUAAGGGGUGGGCAAGUUCUGGUGU